rnacentral:rRNA from 1 species
UUCUAUAGCUAUCCCACUCUGAACACGGCUGAUCUCAGAAGCUCAGUAGGAUCCAGCCUGGUUGGUCCUUGGGCAGGAGGCCUUGGCAUACUGGGUGCUGUGGGCU